UCAUGGAGGCCGUUGGAUUCCUU
rnacentral:misc_RNA from 1 species